rnacentral:lncRNA from 1 species
GAAGUUCGUUUUAAAAUGGAGUGGUUGUUGUAUUGCAUGGUUUUAGCAAUUGGAUUUCACUCAUAACCCACCAAAUGACUCCUCCCACAAUAUUAUGAUGUUCCCCAAGUUUUGGGCUCAAUCCGAUAUCGAUUGGUCGAUAAAAUUGGACAAUUCAGGUUCGUACAAAGUUCGUUCUGAAAUAGAGUGGUUGGUGUAUUGCAUAGUUCUAGAGAUUGGAUUUCACUCGAAACCCACCAAAUGACUCCUCC